UAUAUAUUUUUUAAUGCGCAUAAUGCGUACAUUGCAUAGUUGCGAUUUCUGCAACUGCUUAAUACCACUGAUUUACGAAACAAUGAAGAUAAUAGUUAUACAUUCGAGAAGAAAAUAAUGCCGUUAUUAUUAUAAUGUAUGUAUAAUACCGGUAUUUAUAAUGCCACUCACAUGACGUCAAUCACAUGACGUCACAGUUAUAAACGUGUCACGUGAUACUGAAUUUACGUUGUUACUGUUAGCCACGAGGUUAAUGUUUUGCACGGCAACGGAACAGAGCGGACUUGUACUUAAAUGGAUCUUGGACGUUUUGAGUUAAGCUAUUAUUAUGUACACGAGUUUAGAAAAUAUUGAACUGAAAUAUCCAUUAUUCAGUGACAGAAGAUGUAGAAGAUCGUAGACGUCGGGAUACAAAAGUUAUUGAAGGAAACCCGUCCACAAAUAUGUUGUCUCCUUACUUGAGGGUCAUGAGCUACCAUACAGCCACCCCCAAAAUGUAUGAGAAAAAUAUGUUUUACCAUUCAAGUGGAAAUUAAAAAUGAAUGCCAAUUGUUCAUUUUGCAUCUAAUGUUUACCCCCAUCCAAAAUAGUUUCAUUAAAAAGGGUUGUUGCAUUAAUGAGGGUAUGGCCGGGUUCAUCAGAGCAUAGUACAGGGCGGAUCUCUGAAACGUCUACAGUUUGCUUACCUGCAUGUGUAGAUGAUCUUAAAGACAGGAUUUUUUGCUUCAAGAAGUGUUGGCAGAAUUAUGGGCUUAUAUAGUUCCAGGUGUCAACGACUCGGUGGCUGAAUGAGAACUUUCUGAUGUCCAAACGAGGGGCACCAGAUGGGAUGGGCAUAUUCAACGUGAGGUCUGAUCAGUGCAGUAUAUAACUUUUUGAAUGUUGGAAUGUCAAGGUAUUCAAAGGAUCUUCUCAUUGCACCUAAUACUGAGUUUGCCUUAUUUACUUUUUCAGUUAAAUGUUGUCCAAAUGUAAGCUUAUCGUCUAUGGUGACCCCUAUAUCUUUCUCUGCAUGGCUUAUUUCCAUAGGUUUCAAGUCUGGUCUUAAUUUGUAUGUUCUUUCGCACAAUUUCUUAUUACUUAUAGUCAUUGUUUUACAUUUGUCUGGAUGGAAUCGGAGCAGCCACUUGUCAGACCAUUUACUCAUGCUAAAUAUGUCUUGCUGGAGCAUUUCUAUGUCUUUUCCGAGGCAAUUUCCCUGAAUAUUUUUGUGUCAUCUGCAUAUAAAUACAGCUGGCUAUCAUUUUCUA